rnacentral:lncRNA from 1 species
AAAAAUGACCCUGAGGGAAUCAAGGAUCUAAUUCAGCAGCAUAUAAAGUUACAAAAACAAAUAGAAGACCUACAAGGUCGGACAUCAAAUAGGAAUCCAAUUAAAGCUUUUUAUGAAAGCAGGGCUUACAUACCUAGAAACUCAUCAGCACCUGCUUUUAGAACAUCACUUAACUUUGUGGAAACAGAAAGAGGUUUCAGGAAAACUAAGUACAGAAUGGCAAAUGGCGGUGGCCAUCAGAAUCAAAAGGUGGCAGAUGAGGCUUUGAAGGGGGACGAUUGUGACUGUCAUCCUGAAUUUCUGCCACCUCCAAGUGAG